ACGCACGCUGGCGGCGUGCCUAAUACAUGCAAGUAGAACGCACAGUUUAUACCGUAGCUUGCUACACCAUAGACUGUGAGUUGCGAACGGGUGAGUAACGCGUAGGUAACCUGCCUGGUAGCGGGGGAUAACUAUUGGAAACGAUAGCUAAUACCGCAUAAUAUUGAUUAUUGCAUGAUAAUUAAUUGAAAGGUGCAAUUGCACCACUACCAGAUGGACCUGCGUUGUAUUAGCUAGUAGGUGAGGUAACGGCUCACCUAGGCGACGAUACAUAGCCGACCUGAGAGGGUGAUCGGCCACACUGGGACUGAGACACGGCCCAGACUCCUACGGGAGGCAGCAGUAGGGAAUCUUCGGCAAUGGACGAAAGUCUGACCGAGCAACGCCGCGUGAGUGAAGAAGGUUUUCGGAUCGUAAAGCUCUGUUGUAAGAGAAGAACGGGUGUGAGAGUGGAAAGUUCACACUGUGACGGUAUCUUACCAGAAAGGGACGGCUAACUACGUG
rnacentral:rRNA from 1 species